rnacentral:lncRNA from 1 species
GACAUUCGGAGCCCCCGGGGACAAUUAAACAGAAGAAGUUUCUCGAGCGUCGUCCGACUCCCGGGCAAACAUGGAGCGCCCACGAUAAACGGACAAACCAGGGGACGGCGGGCGGCUCCAACCUCCUACCGACUGUAAACGACUUCACCGUCACUUUCAUGGGCAUUGCUCUGGAACUCUCCUCUCUCUCUCUCUCUCUCUCUCUCUCUCUCUCUCUCUCUCUCUCUCUCUCUCUCUCUACCUGCGUUUGGUUCGAUCAGUCACAUUCGGGAGCGGUCUCCCAUUCACACAACCGUGAUUCCAUUACGUACAGGAGGCACAAGGGGGCGGGGGUGGGCGGCAUCGGUCGCCAACAGGUUCCAUGGCGGUCUCAAGUCUCGUUGUCGAUGUCGGUGGUCUCCAGGAUGUAGUCCCUCAUCAACCUGGUGUUGGAUUCAUCGACCAUCUGCGAGGCGACGAUCGCGAGGCCUGAGUGCACCGGGGUGAACUGGACGAGGCGAGAAAGGGGACAGGAAGGGACGGAGAGGGAUGGCGGACCUUGAAGGCGAGCUUCUUCAUAUUCUCCCACUCAAAAUCCUGCUUCUGAUACGCAGAUCUGACCUGCGUUGCACGCCAUGGAUCACAGUUUCAGAGGUAGGUCAAGGAGAGAACGGGG